CUUGUUUCAAAUCCGAUCUUAAGAUAAAUCCAAAAAUAUUUCCAUUCAAACCAAUUAGUCAAUCCUAGGAGUACAAUCCUUUUAAAUUUCUUGAACCGUAUUAGAAAUAAAUUCAUAAAUAGUAUCAUAUAUAUCAUGGUUCAUAAGCAAGUCUUGAAUACAGCGCGGAAUAUUUUCAGGUCUUAUGUGAUAGUUUAACAGAUUAGAUGACAAACAUAGGCGUUGGAUAUGGAAUUCAGAGCAUUCGAAGAAUAUGUGGUCUAAAGUUUGAUCGACGUCUGAAUUGCAAUACGAACAGGAGGGAGACAUAAUAAUGCGCAUGCGGUGUAAAUGUGAAUUAAAUCUGCAAUGUCCGAAUCUAAGGCGGCAUAGUGUUGUAUAAAAUCUUCUGCUUUUGUAAUUGCUGGAUUUACAAAACCAUGGCAUUCCAAUAUCUUGGUUGAUUGCAGCAUACCAAGUGCCUUUUCUCGCUAAACUUUCUUUCCAAAGAUCUUUCCAAUCCUGAUUAAGUUUUGACUUUAGAAGUGGUAGUAAAUCUGUGUACGGAAUGGCAACAUUGUCAGCAGCGCUGCCGCUGUCACUGUCGACAAUCGCACGUGCAAGGAAAUCCACAUGCUCGUUGCCUGCGACUCCUAUAUGCGAGGGCGUCCAUAAGAAUUCCACACUGUAAUUUCUUUUAAAUAGCAUAUACAAUAAGGAUCUUAUUUCGGUGAUAAUAUAGCUUGACUUAGCACUGAAUUGAUGAUUUUGCAGAGCUUUUAGAACACUCAUGCUGUCUGUGAUGAUUAACCAAUAUCUUUCCGAACGAUCUUCAAUGAAUCUUAAUGCAGAAACAAUAGCAAGAGCUUCUGCAGAAAAUAUGCUUAAAUUUUCAUUUAGUUUAGUACCUCGUCCAAACUUCAAACUUGGUAUAUAGAAUGCCAUUGAAACCUUAUCCUCCUUUUUUGAGCCAUCUGUGUAAAUGUGUUUAUAAUUGGGAUAUUGAGAUAUAACAUUAUAGAUUUCGUGUCGAUCUCUCAGUUUAUUGUCUAUAACUAUGCUGAUGUUAUGCAUAAUACUUUCAUAGCUCUUAGUAUAGCAAACCCAGUUAUCUGAUUUAAAGAUGUUGUGCUGAUUGACCAAAUUUAACAAGAAGGGGAGCUCAUGCAAAAGAAAGGGAUAGUUGCUUGAUAGAGGGGAAUUCAUAUGCAAACUAUUGUUCAGAUGAGUAAGUUUGUUAAUAAGGGAGUGAUUAUUAAUAGAAAGUAGUUUUAGCAAAAAUCUCCUUUUUAGAUAUUGAAACCUUAAGUAUAGUGGAGGAGUGUUGCAUUCAACUUGGAGUGAAUUUAUGGGAGUUGUUCUCAUUGCCCCAGUGAUAAGUCGAAGACUAUGAUUUUGAAUGACAUCCAAUUUGUGAAGCAGUUGGUUAUUUGAAGCAAAACAAAAGAAACUGUAUUCAAAGUGGCUACGAACAAGAGAUUUGUAUAGAGUUAAAAGAAUUUUAGGAUCAGAGCCCCAGUAUGUUCCAGCAAGAGACCUCAAAAUAUUCAGUGCCUUUGUAGCUCUGUCAGUUACACAAUCAACAUAUUUACCCCAGGAUACAUUGUUAAGAAACAACACACCCAAGAACUUAGCUUCGGUUACAGCUGGGAGUUCUGUACUAUCAUAAUAUAAUUUGACCUGAAAAGGCCUUCCUUUAUUGAAUACUAAUACUUUGGAUUUCUCUAUACUUAUGUCUAAGGCAAGAUAAUUAAAAUAGGCAGACCAAUGGAUACAAGCUCUGAAGACAGAAUAUGAUGAUUAACGUUAUUGAAAGCCCCUACUACAUCAAAAAAUACACUGGCCAAAACAUUAUGGGAUUUGAAUGCUUGAAAGAUGUCCAAAUGUAAAUGGGCAAUACUCUCUCUAGAAGAUCUGCCCUUUCUAAACCCAAAUUGAUUAGAAGAUGAUAUUGCUGACAUUAAUUCGGCAAAUGAAAAUGGUUCCAAAAAGUAUCUGUGAUUAGGGCAAGACCAAUCUUGAUUGUCAAAGUGGGAUGCUGGCUCAACAGUAUCUGGAGUGUAUUUUUUGAGGAAAUGAAUAAUCCAAUCAUAAUUGUUAUCAAACACAGACGAAGAUCUAAUUAUGUAUUUCUUCUUAGCUUGAAGCUUUUUAAAGUUUAUAUAAUUCUCUUCAGUUGGGUCUUCUUUGAAUUGGAGGUGAUAGCUGCCUAAUGGAUCGUCAUAGACCAUCCAGUCACAUUGUAAAGAGAUGGAAGGAGAGACUAUGGUUAAAUCCAAGACAUUAGGUCUCCAUAUGUGAGAGCCGACUGUAGUAACAUGGCCAUCAUUAAGUAGGACUAAAUUGUUUUUAUGAAUGACAUCUAAAAUGUCUUUGCCCCUGCAAUCAGAGGUUUGGCUGCCCCAAACUAUAUUAUGGCAGUUAAAAUCCCCCGCCAAGAAAAUUGGUUCAGGGAGGCUUUUAAUUAAAUUAUUCAGUUUAUGUGGUGAAAAAGGAGGGCUGCAAUUACCUGGGCUGUAAAGGCUUACAAUAGUUAAUUCCUUGCAAUUUGAAUAUUUAAUUUUAAUAGCUAUAUUUUGAAGAGAAUUAUCAUAAACAGUAUUUACAUUAGAGUAAGAGAUAGAUCUAUGUACAAGUAUGGCUACACCAUUGUGAGAGUUUCCUGAGUCUAGUCUUACUGCAUCGAAAUUACGCAAUUUAAAUUUAUGAUGAGGUUUAAGCCAAGUCUCGCAAAGAAUGGCCACAUGAAUAUUGUUAUCCAAAAGAAAAUGAUUGAAAAUAUGUUGAUUGUGCAAUAUACUCUGAGCAUUCCACUGUACUAUAUUUAAAGUAUCCAUUAGGAUAUAAUUGAAGAUUGUUUACUAUUCUGCUUUUUGAAAGAAUCUUUUAAAACAUCUUUUAUGGUUUCAGAGCAAAUUUUGGAUUCAUUGGUCUUGUUGAGGGUGAUUAAUUUAACAAGUGAUUCAGUAAUGGUUUUAAGUAUUAUUUCUGAAUUGAGUAAUGAAAGGAAUUGGUCUGUUUUACUAUGUGAGGGAAAAUUAGUGCUAUUAAGAGCUUGUGCAUAACUUUUAUUUUGAAAUUUAUCUUUAUUUUGCUGAAUUUUUUCUUUUUUGAUAGGGCAUAUAGAAGAUAUUGAAAUAUGGUUCCCUUUACAAUGGCAACAAGAGGCCUCUUUGGGGUUAACAUUGCAAGAUUUAAAGUUGUGACCUUCUCCACAGAUGGAGCAUCUUUCAGCGUUUUUACAAAAUUUGGCAAUGUGACCAUAUCUCAAGCAACGGAGGCACUGUUUUACUGGAGGUAUGUAGGCACGAACUUCAAAUCUCCAACUAUUUAAGUCAACACUCUCAGGUAAGUUUGGACAAGAGAAUGUGAUGGACACAGUUUUUGUAGGUUCAUAUUUGAUGUUACUGUUCUCGUUAGUCCUACGCAUGAAGCGUCUGAUCGAGACUAUAUUUUUUGUGCUGGUCAAAGCGCUGUAAAUCUGUUUGUUUGAUAGAUCUAUAGGCACGUGACUAAUAACGCCAGUUGUUUCAGUUGCGGCAGCUGGUAUACUAGCGUAAAGUUUGUGGUUAUCCAGAAAUUUUUUAUUGCUAAGAGCUGCAUUAGCCAAAGCUGGUCUCUCGAAAAUCACUCCUACUUUUGUUUUAUUGAUCCUUUUUAAUUGUUUUACGCCUUUGUUGUAUUUUUUUAUUGCGUUGGCGAGAGACAUCAUGUCUCUCGAGCCAAUUGGUUUGUCUCUGUCAGAACUUUCUAGAAAUACAAUAUAUUCGAAAUUGCCACCAUCUUCAGGAUAGAAACGGACGUAGUUAGGUAGUUUAAAUGGGAUAUACUUAUCUACAUCUUCCUCGGAAAUUAUGGAGUCAGACUCAGAGUCCCGCACCGCAGCGCUUUCCUCGGAGUCUCCCUCGACAUCUUCCUUUUUUUUACGCCUUUUUCUACCGCGGGACAUCGCGGCAACAAUCACACUUUUUGAGUAAAUAAAACUUACAACAAUAA